rnacentral:rRNA from 1 species
AACGAACGCUGGCGACAUGCCUAACACAUGCAAGUCGAACGAGACCUUCGGGUCUAGUGGCGCACGGGUGCGUAACGCGUGGGAACCUGCCCUUAGGUUCGGAAUAACUCCCCGAAAGGGGUGCUAAUACCGGAUAAUGUCUUCGGACCAAAGAUUUAUCGCCUUUGGAUGGGCCCGCGUUGGAUUAGCUAGUUGGUAGGGUAAAAGCCUACCAAGGCGACGAUCCAUAGCUGGUCUGAGAGGAUGAUCAGCCACACUGGGACUGAGACGCGGCCCAGACUCCUACGGGAGGCAGCAGUGGGGAAUAUUGGACAAUGGGCGAAAGCCUGAUCCAGCAAUGCCGCGUGAGUGAUGAAGGCCUUAGGGUUGUAAAGCUCUUUUACCCGGGAUGAUAAUGACAGUACCGGGAGAAUAAGCUCCGGCUAACUCCGUG